AUCUUACAAACAAACACACGUUUUCCUGCGUCUGGAAAUAAGUGUUUCAGAUACUUAUUUUGUCUUUUCAGCUGAAGUAACACAUUGUCAUUCUUUUGCCUGGACUGAUGGUGACUGAUGAACUUCUGAAUCAUCCAACGCCUUCAUUCUUGUGCACUUUUUGAAGUGUCAUUCUUUUGCCUGGACUGAUGGUGACUGAUGAACUUCUGAAUCAUCCAACGCCUUCAUUCUUGUGCACUUU